AGCAAUGAUUCUCACAUCUGGACGAUCACUGGAAUGUCCAGGCAGUGUUCCCAGCCUGUGAUUUCCAGAACCGACCAGGACCUGGGGAAUCAGAAUCUCUACGGUGGUCCUGGGAUCUCUCUGAUUAAAAAGUUCCAGCGAUGGACUGAAAUCUAGAACUGUAAGCCAAAGAAACCGUUUCCUCUCUAAGUGGCUUCGGUCAAGCCGUUUCAUCACAGCAACAGAAGAAGCUAGAUCACGGUCUAUGAAAGCAGGACUAGAGGGAGGUGAGAACCAGACCAGGGUCUUUCUCUGAGCCUGGAAGUCAUU
rnacentral:lncRNA from 1 species